rnacentral:rRNA from 1 species
UACGUAGGGUGCAAGCGUUAAUCGGAAUUACUGGGCGUAAAGCGUGCGCAGGCGGUUUUGUAAGACAGGCGUGAAAUCCCCGGGCUCAACCUGGGAAUUGCGCUUGUGACUGCAAGGCUGGAGUGCGGCAGAGGGGGAUGGAAUUCCGCGUGUAGCAGUGAAAUGCGUAGAUAUGCGGAGGAACACCGAUGGCGAAGGCAAUCCCCUGGGCCUGCACUGACGCUCAUGCACGAAAGCGUGGGUAGCGAACAGG